GACGAACGCUGGCGGCGUGCUUAACACAUGCAAGUCGAACGGUGAACGAGGGAGCUUGCUCCCUCCGGAUCAGUGGCGAACGGGUGAGUAACACGUGAGCAAUCUGCCCCGAACUCUGGGAUAAGCGUUGGAAACGACGUCUAAUACCGGAUACGACGCGGGAGGGCAUCCUCUCCGCGUGGAAAGAACUUCGGUUCGGGAUGAGCUCGCGGCCUAUCAGCUUGUCGGUGAGGUAACGGCUCACCAAGGCGACGACGGGUAGCCGGCCUGAGAGGGUGACCGGCCACACUGGGACUGAGACACGGCCCAGACUCCUACGGGAGGCAGCAGUGGGGAAUAUUGCACAAUGGGCGCAAGCCUGAUGCAGCAACGCCGCGUGAGGGACGACGGCCUUCGGGUUGUAAACCUCUUUUAGCAGGGAAGAAGCGAAAGUGACGGUACCUGCAGAAAAAGCACCGGCUAACUACGUG
rnacentral:rRNA from 1 species